rnacentral:rRNA from 1 species
GAUGAACGCUGGCGGCGUGCCUAAUACAUGCAAGCCGAGCGAAUGGAUUAAGAGCUUGCUCUUAUGAAGUUAGCGGCGGACGGGUGAGUAACACGUGGGUAACCUGCCCAUAAGACUGGGAUAACUCCGGGAAACCGGGGCUAAUACCGGAUAACAUUUUGAACCGCAGGGUUCGAAAUUGAAAGGCGGCUUAGGCUGUCACUUAUGGAUGGACCCGCGUCGCAUACGCUAGUUGGGGAGGUAACGGCUCACCAAGGCAAAGAUGCGUAGCCGACCUGAGAGGGUGAUCGGCCACGCUGGGACUGAGACACGGCCCAGACUCCUACGGGAGGCAGCAGUAGGGAAUCUUCCGCAAUGGACGAAUGUCUGACGGAGCAACGCCGCGUGAGUGAUGAAGGCUUUCGGGUCGUAAAACUCUGUUGUUAGGGAAGAACAAGUGCUAGUUGAAUAAGCUGGCACCUUGACGGUACCUAACCAGAAAGCCACGGCUAACUACGUGCCAGCCGCCGCUGUAA